CAAGUCGAACGCGAAAGCCCCCUUCGGGGGGCAAGUAGAGUGGCGCACGGGUGAGUAACACGUAGGUAAUCUACCUUCGGAUGGGGAAUAACAACCGGAAACGGUUGCUAAUACCGCAUAAUGCAGCGGCACCUAAUGGUGACAGUUGUUAAAGCGGGGGAUCGUAAGACCUCGCGUCUGAAGAGGAGCCUGCGGCAGAUUAGCUAGUUGGUAAGGUAACGGCUUACCAAGGCGAUGAUCUGUAGCCGGCCUGAGAGGGCGGUCGGCCACACUGACACUGACAUACGGGUCAGACUCCUACGGGAGGCAGCAGUCGGGAAUUUUGGGCAAUGGGCGAAAGCCUGACCCAGCAACGCCGCGUGAAGGAUGAAAUCCCUCGGGAUGUAAACUUCGCAAGAACGGGAAGAAUAAGUGAGAGUUAAUAUCUCUCGCGAUGACGGUACCGUUUGUAAGCUCCGGCUAACUCCGUGCCAGCAGCCGCGGUAAUACGGGGGGAGCAAGCGUUGUUCGGAUUUACUGGGCGUAAAGGGCGCGUAGGCGGCCACCGCAAGUCGACUGUGAAAUCUCCGGGCUUAACCCGGAAAGGUCAGCCGAUACUGCGGGGCUAGAGUGCAGAAGGGGCAACUGGAAUUCUCGGUGUAGCGGUGAAAUGCGUAGAUAUCGAGAGGAACACCUGCGGCGAAGGCGGGUUGCUGGGCUGACACUGACGCUGAGGCGCGAAAGCUAGGGGAGCGAACGGGAUUAGAUACCCCGGUAGUCCUAGCCUUAAACGAUGAAUGCUUGGUGUCUGGGGUUUUAUAGUCCCCG
rnacentral:rRNA from 1 species